CUCGUCCGUGAUGUUUUUACCCCAAUAAUUUGAGUUUGACUGACCAUGAGAAGACGUUACAUGCACUCCCAUCUGAGACGGC
ensembl:snoRNA SNORD33 Small nucleolar RNA Z195/SNORD33/SNORD32 family